CAAGGAAUAUUGGUCAAUGGACGCAAGUCUGAACCAGCCAUGCCGCGUGAAGGAUGAAGGUCCUCUGGAUUGUAAACUUCUUUUAUCUGGGACGAAAACGGGAUUUUUAUCUCAAUUGACGGUACCAGAGGAAUAAGCACCGGCUAACUCCGUGCCAGCAGCCGCGGUAAUACGGAGGGUGCGAGCGUUAUCCGGAUUUACUGGGUUUAAAGGGUGCGUAGGUGGGCUUAUAAGUCAGUGGUGAAAUCUCCGAGCUUAACUUGGAAACUGCCGUUGAUGCUAUAGGUCUUGAAUUAUCUGGAGGUAAGCGGAAUAUGUCAUGUAGCGGUGAAAUGCUUAGAUAUGACAUAGAACACCAAUUGCGAAGGCAGCUUACUACAUAUAAAUUGACGCUGAGGCACGAAAGCGUGGGGAUCAAACA
rnacentral:rRNA from 1 species